UGCCUGUUCGAGCGUCAUUAUAACCCUCAAGCCUAGCUUGGUGUUGGAGCAUGCUAUCUAGCAGCUCUUAAAAUCAGUGGCAGUGCUUCCGGCUCUAAGCGUAGUAAUUCUUCUCGCUAUGGAAACCGGUUGGUCCGCGCCAGAACCCCCAAUUUUCUAUGGUUGACCUCGGAUCAGGUAGGGAUACCCGCUGAACUUAA
rnacentral:misc_RNA from 1 species